UGGGGAAUAUUGGACAAUGGGCGCAAGCCUGAUCCAGCCAUGCCGCGUGUGUGAAGAAGGCCUUCGGGUUGUAAAGCACUUUCAGCGAGGAGGAAGGGUGGUGUGUUAAUAGCACAUCAUUUUGACGUUACUCGCAGAAGAAGCACCGGCUAACUCUGUGCCAGCAGCCGCGGUAAUACAGAGGGUGCAAGCGUUAAUCGGAAUUACUGGGCGUAAAGCGCACGUAGGCGGUUUUUUAAGUCAGAUGUGAAAGCCCCGGGCUCAACCUGGGAAUUGCAUUUGAAACUGGGAAACUAGAGUGUGUGAGAGGGGGGUAGAAAUUCCAAGUGUAGCGGUGAAAUGCGUAGAGAUUUGGAGGAAUACCAGUGGCGAAGGCGGCCCCCUGGCACAACACUGACGCUCAGGUGCGAAAGCGUGGGGAGCAAAACAGGAUUAGAUACCCUGGUAGUCCCACGCCGUAAAACGAUGUCUACUAGCUGUUCGUGACCUUGUGUUGUGAGUAGCGCAGCUAACGCACUAAAGUAGACCGCCUGGGGGAGUACGGUCGC
rnacentral:rRNA from 1 species